GCUGUCCAUUGUAAGAUGGAAAUGAUACAUCUGGGAUCCAGCCCAAGUCGGAUCAGAAGGCAAAAAGCCCACUGGAAUGCUGGAGUUGCAUGCAGAGCUUAUAAAAAAAAGUGGAUCUAAUUGGUACAGGGAUGGACCAUAGCAGAUGUUGUGAUAUGCCAUCUGGAUCCUGCUUCAAGACUGAAAGACUUAUGCCCCCCACCCCCCCUGGGUGUUCUGCUGGUCAGUAGCCUUCAGUUAUCAGCACUUUUUUGGGUAAUUGCCCUUGGCUGAAGAAAGUUACCUUGCCCAACGUCACUGGCUUCCAGAACAGUCCUCAUUCCAUGAGUGAUUAUCUCUGGAGUGAUAAUUAAGAAACAGAUAAUAGUGGUUGCCUCUGGGAAGGACAGCUGGGAACUGAGGACUGAGCCAACAGAAGCGUAGGCAAGGCUGGGGUGCGGUGUGUCUUGGGAGCGAUGCACCCCUCAUCUCAUCCCAGAAUCUACCCAUGACUUUGAAGGUGAUAACUUCAAUCAGUGCGCCUCCUCUUCAAUUCCUCCUUCUCCGAAGCAGAUUUUUAUAGAGUUCCCAUGACACACCUUGUUCCAGAAACUCCAGAUACAGUGAUGAAUAAGACAGAAAAGAUGUCUUUGUUCACAGAGCUGUUAAAAUAGAGGGGCCCAUUGUUUCCAGAGAAUUGACCGGGAUCACCCUUAACGCUAAAGGCAUGAGGAAAAAAAAAGUUGAAAAUAAAUGAUAGAUAU